UACAGAGGUGGUAAGCGUUGUUCGGAAUUACUGGGCGUAAAGGGCGCGUAGGCGGCCAUCUAAGUCAGACGUGAAAUCCCCCGGCUUAACCUGGGAACUGCGUCUGAUACUGGACGGCUUGAGUAUGGGAGAGGGAUGUAGAAUUCCAGGUGUAGCGGUGAAAUGCGUAGAUAUCUGGAGGAAUACCGGUGGCGAAGGCGGCAUCCUGGACCAUUACUGACGCUGAGGCGCGAAAGCUAGGGGAGCAAACGGG
rnacentral:rRNA from 1 species